rnacentral:lncRNA from 1 species
AUUGUGUAACUUCAGAUUUAAGUUAGGGCUGAUAAUUUGUAUCCUGAUAUGAUGGCUGAUAGAGCUAGAAAUGUGAAGGCAAAAAAGGACAUAGUAAUGGUUGCAGCUGAAGCGUCUGUAAAUGCAUCAUCGUCAUUCUCCCUCAUUCUAUCUGUUAGUGGAACUGCUGUGGAUGCUGAUGAUAUUAAGAGAUAUGCUAUUACCUGAAAAUAAAAAAGAAAACUACUGACUAUAUACUUUGAUGUCCGAGGGUUUUCUUAGUAUUACGGUCCAUUAGGGUUUCAUUGGUAUCUAAACACUUUAGUGGUAGCUAGAGAUGCGGUUUUUAUUCGUUCAAUAAAAUUUAAGAGAGUUUUCUUAAUUUCUGGUGGAUUCCGAAACUUUAAUUUCAUGGAUUUAUCGUUUGCAAACUUGUUUCUUUUCAAUCUAUAUUUAGCACUUGUUAACGUAUGUUUCCGAUUACGUCAACUUCUCUAUAUUAAAAUAAUCGCUAAAGAAAAUAUCCUUACGUACAAUUUCAAUACUAGUUAAAUUCCUUAAUUGGGUUAAAAAAAUAUUAUGCUAAACUACUAAUGUGCUAUGAAAGUAAGAAAUGCCAAACCUGAUCCCCAACAAAAUCAAUCACAGCUGCAGUUGUAGGUCGAAAUAUAUUAUUCCCAGUGAUAAGUUCAUGAAUUUGACGAUACACUUGGCUUCCUGUGUAUAUACUUGUAAAAAAUGCUACCACAAGCAAAUACCU